CCCGGUGGGAAACUACUGUUUUGUUGUUCCAUGGGAAGGAAAAAUACAAAGUGAAUUAAACUGAAUUAGUUCCUUGGCUGAUCUAGCAAGCCAAGGAGAACGGUCCAGUGCGAUGGCCUGGUCCACUUGACCGGCCCAACUAGAGCUUGGCUCAGCACAAGCUUCCAUCGAAAAAAAAUGGAAAGAGUCAGAACAGAGAAUCGCGAUCCCCUGCCUGAACGGCUCAAACGGUCUCCACUGAGGCACAAUUGGUGCGAACUCUCCGGUCUGGUGUGAAUGGGUAGCGGCCGUUGGGGGCUGUUGUAAUCGGCGAAUGGCCGAUCGGUGCCAUCAUUCGUCCGAGCUUAUCCCCCUCCCAAGGAUCCUAUUUAAAUCCCUCUUUCCCUCAGUCAACCCAUUGCCGCUCACCUCCCCAGCUUCUUCCUUCUUCCUCCUUCUCCAGUGGUCGGCGAACCACCAUGAUCGACUACCACCGCCCUUUUUUUCUCUUUCUUCCUCUUUUCUCGCUUUAGAAUUGCAGCAGCUUGUUACUGUGCUCACCGGAAAUCAAGGCUGGCAACAUCAUCCGAGCCAAGGUCUAGCUAGGAGUCGCCUAGCGAAGUCUGACAAUCUAAGAUAAAAAAGGUACACUAUCGCGCGGGGGGUGGUGAAACUUUGUGCAGGUACACCGUCGCGCGGGAGGUGGCUCUCCUUCCUCUGCUCCAGCCGGCAGCUCCCUUUGACUCCUCCGGCGUGGUCACCCUCGCGCCAAAUUUGAACAACAACAAUGAUUAUUAUUAUAUCUAAACUUAUAGUAUAUAAGUAUAAUAAUUUAUAUAAAUAAAUAUAAAAUAUGAGUGAUCUCUUUCUGAUAUCACUAUCUAACAAUAGGAAAGCGUCUCCUCUUGAGUACUGCUUUGUUUUGAGAAUUCAUGACAGACAAAAGUCCAGGAGAGUUGCAGCAUGGUUUUGCUAUGAAGUUUGCAGCCAACAGCUCAUCAUGGACCUAGAACAUGUCAGACUUUGGCACCACAACAUUGCGAACAGCUGCAGCGAAAAAGUUAAGCGAACUUGGAGGUUAUGCUAGUUAAGCCUACAAAGCGCGAAGCUACAUGGAAGCCGUCAGGAUGAUUAAAGGUCAGAUAUCAAGUUUUGCAAGGGAAGGACGCCUGAACUUACAAGUUGUUUAUGAUUUUGCAGUAACUGAAUGCUGUCUAUAACCUUCCAAAUGAGUUCUGAGAACAAAGCAUAAAAUCAUAAAAACCACUUUGUAGCUUUUUGAAAGGUUUUGACAACAAAAUUGUCAACAGUUCAGCAGCAGUUAGACUAUAACUUGUAUCGGCAGGAAAAUGACAUACAACAGACCAUUAUCUCGCUAAAAUGUCCAAAAGUUUUUUCCUCGUUUGUUGCUGCACUAUGAUGGUAACUAUGCUGUUAUGGCAAGAAAUACUGUUACACCAAGAAAUAAUGAAUAACAGCAGUAAGAUAAAUACUAGAUAGUAGCUAUUGUGGGAAAAUAUGGUAUCACCAUAAAAAAAUAUAACAGUUACAUAACAAACGACGGGCAUAAAUUUUCUUGUUAUAAUUUCACAUUAUUAUAGAAUAUUCUUAAAUGAGUUCAAAAAUAGCCAUUACAACUUUAUAACACUUGGUCACCAACCCACCUUGUAUGUACAAUGCAUCUUCAUAUUAUGUAACCAUCAUAUCUACAUAAUGUAGAAAGGCGCACAGAACUGCAGACUGCUAUAGGAUUAUGAGUACCAUAAUUUAAAAGCAUGAGAGAAGACAUUUUCUGGCUUCAGAUAAUAAAUGGCACAUUUUAGAGUUCUGUGAUCAAAGAGCAAAGCAAAAAAAAGGCUAAAAUUCUAAAAUUGAGAAGGGCUACAAACAUGUCAUAUUCACAAUAGAAAUUGUUUUAGUUCGAAAGAAUAACCCAACAAACUAUUCCACUUAUGAAGUUUUGAGGUAGCAAUAUAGCUCAAGCAACAACAAUGCUCGAUACCACCAGCUUCAAAAGAAUUCAAUAGCCAUGUAUCAAUGUAAGGCCAUACUAUCAAAAACCAUAUCUAAGGGUUCAAAAAGUGCAAGAACAACUCUAUCAAGUCACAAAAACAAAAAAAUAUAGUUGCAGCAUGUGAAAGAAAGAAAUUUCAGAACAGUUUAGAUACUAAAUGGUGGCAUUUGAAGUACCAUACAGAUAUCAUAGUGGAGGCAUUUGCUUCCAAAAUCAUUUUGCAUUCGCAUUGUAGAUGUCCGAAGCUUGGAUAUCUAGAGAUAAGGUGGGCGCGUUGGAACGAUCCCGCUUUGAAAGCUCCUCAGAAGAAGAAUCCAAUAGCCAUGUUGCAUUCAAUGGACAAGCUCCAUUGGUUCCCAAUUUUUCAUCCUAAAGUUUCAAUUAUAUUGCAGAACUCGAAGCUUUGGGACACCUUUUAUAGAAACAAACUGUGGUCUCACCUAUUCUCCUCGCAUGUUGACAAUAUUCAAUCUAUAAAGUUCACUUUUGAGAGUACAGCUCGGAUUAACAAGCAUAUCAAUGGAUUAAAAAGAGCACAGGAACAACCCUAUCAAGUCACAAACACAAAAGAAUAUAAUUGCAACAUGACAGAAAUUUCAAUAUAGUCUAAAUGAGACUGAUCCAAGCAGUAACAUAUCUUCAUUACAUCAUCUAUGAUCUUUCAGGUGGUAAAUUGAUGCAGCAAUCUCUUGUCUUAGUGACAAAACUUUAGCAUUUAAAAGACCAUACAGGAAACAUAGUGGAUG